UCAGGGCUACAUAUCUCAGAAGGGAAAGGAGGGAGGCCAUUUUAUUAGGGCCCUAUGUAAAUCACCUGAAUAUGAUUACUUUUUCAUUCUAUUCCUUCAGCUCAUUAAUUCCAUGCGUACAUGAGUGCAUGAGCCUGAACAUACAAUACAGGCGCACAUACAUACAUACACCACACUACCACCUCCACACAAUAUCACAGCAUUCCAACCAAUAAGGAUCCAGCUGAUGAAGAUCUCUCAGUUUCCGAGGGGAGAGCGACUGGCCCUGGUGGUGGGUACUAGUGAGCACAGUCCCGUCUGUUGAAGAUUGUAGAAUGCAACUUUCAGAAGUGUCCAGCUUCAGAUGAGUCACAUGAAGCCAGGCUGUGAGCACCAUAAGACCUGGAACUUGAGGUGAAUGGAGGUUGGAAGAAUCUAGUAAGAUGGGCUAUAACUUGAUCACAUGGCUCUCUAGGGUAAAAUUUGAAGUCCAAACGCUAAGAGUUUCAUCAGAUGGCAUCUGCAACCAAGAAGUUUUCCUACUUGCUGUGAACCACCUACUUGUGGCUCCCACGCAUGUAUCCCCCGAAUCCCUUGAUUUAUGACUUUGUUCUGUAACUAAUGAAAUCUCUCAAGAAACCACUUCCACUGUGGAGCGUGGUAUCUGGGGAAACCUGAAUCCUGGGCCAUGAUCACUUCUAUUUGGCUCCAGAAUAAAAUCUUUUAUUCCCUUCAAA